rnacentral:lncRNA from 1 species
UAGGGUCUAUCAAUAGAUAUGCGGCAUACAGUGCAGCAAGAUAAAGUGCAAAGAAAAACAGAAAAAAAGUAUGCUUCAACUGUACAAAAAUGUAUUAGGUACACUUAUAUGAGAAGUUCUAUUUAUGAAGUUUCAAAUCAACAAGAGAUUUCUGAAUUAAAUAAUCUCGUACUCAUGUCUACCAAUGAAUUCAGUCUUUCGUUGAACAGACAACACAUUAGGUAUUGAAUUAGAUUAAAACUUUUUUUUUUAACUUAUGCAUAUCUUAGCACUCACUGGGUGAAGUUGACUUUUUGAGGCAGAAUAUACUUUUUGUUGUUAUUAAAUGAUGAAAUAUUAUGAACUACAUAUAAUGGAACUGAAGACAGGAAAAAUACUUUGAAAGGUAGUAGGUCUUUUGCUAU